GAUGAACGCUGGCGGCGUGCCUAAUACAUGCAAGUCGAGCGAACGGACGAGAAGCUUGCUUUUCUGAUGUUAGCGGCGGACGGGUGAGUAACACGUGGAUAACCUACCUAUAAGACUGGGAUAACUUCGGGAAACCGGAGCUAAUACCGGAUAAUAUUUUGAACCGCAUGGUUCAAAAGUGAAAGACGGUCUUGCUGUCACUUAUAGAUGGAUCCGCGCUGCAUUAGCUAGUUGGUAAGGUAACGGCUUACCAAGGCCACGAUGCAUAGCCGACCUGAGAGGGUGAUCGGCCACACUGGAACUGAGACACGGUCCAGACUCCUACGGGAGGCAGCAGUAGGGAAUCUUCCGCAAUGGGCGAAAGCCUGACGGAGCAACGCCGCGUGAGUGAUGAAGGUCUUCGGAUCGUAAAACUCUGUUAUUAGGGAAGAACAUAUGUGUAAGUAACUGUGCACAUCUUGACGGUACCUAAUCAGAAAGCCACGGCUAACUACGUG
rnacentral:rRNA from 1 species